rnacentral:tRNA from 2 species
GGGCCCGUAGCUCAGCCUGGAUAGAGCGGCAGUCCACUUCUGGCCGAACCCCCUAUGCCUCGGAGCGGGUUGAGCUGUAGGUCCGGGGUUCGAAUCCCCGCGGGCCCGCCA